GAUGAAGAACGUAGUGAAAUGCGAUAAGUAAUGCGAAUUGCAGAAUUCCGUGAGUCAUCGAAUCUUUGAACGCACAUUGCGCCCUCUGGUAUUCCGGAGGGCAUGCCUGUCUGAGCGUCAUUGUCAACCCUCAAGCUCAGCUUGCUGUUGGGUCCCCGUCGUUGCUUUAACGGCGGACCCGAAAGGUAAUGGCAGAGUCCGUGAGACCCUAGACGCAGCGAGCUUCUAGCACGCGUCUGGACGUUUUUCGGGCUCGGUCUUAACUAGAUGAUAACUUCCGAUUGACCUCAGAUCAGGUAGGGAUACCCGCUGAACUUAAGCAUAUCAAUAAGCGGAGG
rnacentral:misc_RNA from 1 species